CGCGCAGGCGGUCGUUUAAGUCGAAUGUGAAAGCCCCCGGCUCAACUGGGGAGGGUCAUUCGAUACUGAUCGACUUGAAGGCAGGAGAGAGAAGUGGAAUUCCCGGUGUAGUGGUGAAAUGCGUAGAUAUCGGGAGGAACACCAGUGGCGAAGGCGACUUCUUGGCCUGUUCUUGACGCUGAGGCGCGAAAGCUGGGGGAGCAAACA
rnacentral:rRNA from 1 species